ensembl:scaRNA SCARNA2 small Cajal body-specific RNA 2
CUUCACGGGAGGGAGCGCGGCUUGGGGGUAUAGUGUGGUGCGGGCCGAGAGUGUGAAUGGACGCGUGAGAGCGAGCGUGCGAGGCGAGCGAGUGAUUCCCCCGGCCCCUCCCCUCGUCUACACCUUGAUCUUAUUUGAUCGGGUCGUGACCCUAGCCCCGCCGGGCCGCCCCGAAAUGAAAAGCUCUCCUCCUGCGAAGCCCGGCUGUCGGGCGCUGUGCAGCGAGGCCGCGUGGGCGGCGGCGGCGCCGUGGUUCCCGAGGGCCCUGAGCUAGUCCUGCGGGCGCGGUGCUCAGAGGUGAUGAAUUGAUCAGAUAGACGAGGCCGGGCCUGUCCCGCGCCGCUGAUUAUCGAGGCGAUUCUGAUCUGA